CCCUUAGAUGUUCUGGGCCGCACGCGCGCUACACUGACGAAUGCAACGAGCUUAUAACCUUGGCCGAAAGGUCUGGGUAAUCUCCAAAUUUCGUCGUGAUGGGGAUAGAUUAUUGCAAUUAUUAAUCUUCAACGAGGAAUGCCUAGUAAACGCAAGUCAUCAGCUUGCAUUGAUUACGUCCCUGCCCUUUGUACACACCGCCCGUCGCACCUACCGAUUGAAUGGUCCGGUGAAAUCUCGGGACGGCGGCUUGGUCGCUUGCGUCCGACUGCUGAAACUUGAUUAAACCAUNUNAUUUAGNGGAAGGUGAANUCGUANCA
rnacentral:rRNA from 1 species